rfam:Bombyx mori DNA, contig: Bm_scaf72_contig31190, strain: p50T/Dazao, build 2, whole genome shotgun sequence.
CAUUACAUAAUAUUAUACUAAAAUUGGAAGAGUAGAUACAGAGAAGAUUAGUAUGGUCUCUGCGCAAGGAUGACAAGUAAAAUCGUGAAGUGAUCCACAUUUUU